CAGUAGCCGCGGGAAUACGUAGGGUGCAAGCGUUAAUCGGAAUUACUGGGCGUAAAGCGUGCGCAGGCGGUCUGUUAAGACAGAUGUGAAAUCCCCGGGCUCAACCUGGGAACUGCAUUUGUGACUGGCAAGCUAGAGUGUGGCAGAGGGGGGUGGAAUUCCGCGUGUAGCAGUGAAAUGCGUAGAUAUGCGGAGGAACACCGAUGGCGAAGGCAGCCCCCUGGGCCAACACUGACGCUCAUGCACGAAAGCGUGGGGAGCAAACAGGAUUAGAUACCCCCGUAGUCCCUGUCUCUUAUAC
rnacentral:rRNA from 1 species